UCUGCAGCCCUCUCUGCAAAGGAAAUUGCUGCCUUCGGAGGAGGUUAGGUACGCCUGUGCAUUCAUUGCCNGCAUUUUUUCUCUAGGUUACCGCUGUGGAGGAGAUGACGGAUGGAGCGCUAUGUAUCAUUUCAAUACAUCUCAAAUCGGUACCAAUUGGUCCCCUAGUUUUGCUGUGUAUGGAGAUCUUGGUGUAGGUAACGCCCAGUCACUUAGCCAGCUACAAACGGAGGCACAGGAAGGACAAUAUGACGCCAUAUUGCAUGUUGGUGACUUUGCUUAUGACAUGCAUCAGGACGAGUCAAAGGUUGCCGAUGCAUUCAUGAAUCAAAUNGAGACAAUGGCAGCAUAUGUGCCAUAUAUGGUAUGUCCUGGGAACCACGAGCAUGCGUGUAAUUUUUCGAAUUAUCGAGAGAGAUUUAGCAUGCCAGGAGAUACGCAAGGAAUAUUUUAUAGCUGGAAUAUUGGCCCUGUGCAUAUAGUUAGCUUCAGCACCGAGCUAUACUACUUUUUACAAUAUGGCAUCGAACAAUUGGUGAAUCAAUAUAAAUGGCUUCAAAAGGAUUUAGAGGAAGCUAAUUUGCCUGAAAAUCGUGCUAAGCGUCCAUGGAUCAUUACAAUGGCUCACCGUCCAAUGUACUGUUCAAAUAUGGUUGGAGACAACUGCGAAAAUCAUGAAAAUGAGAUAAGGACAGGCAUUACACAGUUAAAGCUUUUCCCACUAGAAGAACUGUUCUACAAACAUGGUGUCGACCUUGAGAUAUGGGCGCAUGAGCAUUCGUACGAAAGAUUGUUCCCUGUAUAUAACCACGAGAUUUAUAACGGAUCUCUCAAGCAGCCAUAUACAAACCCAUGUGCGCCCGUGCACAUUACUACUGGGUCAGCGGGUUGUAAAUAUUGCCAUGAUAAGUUCAAAAGAAAUUUUGGAACAUGGACUGCGUUCCGUACGCUGGACUACGGAUAUACCAGAAUGAAAGUGCAUAACAAGACACAUUUAUACUUAGAGCAAGUCAGCAUUGACAAGACUCCAUCUAAUCACAUCUCCCACGCUAUUCAUCAUGGAUGCGGGGAAAGUGACAUUGAUAGUUGUUCUUAGUAUUCUAAUGGUUGCUGAUCUAGUUGGGAAUUCACUCGUCUGCAUAGUUGUUUUACGAAACAGAUCAAUGAAGACACCUAUGAACUACAUCCUGGUCAACCUGGCCAUGGCAGACAUGAUGGUAGCCGUUUUUAUGGCGCCAAGGCAUAUCUUCCUGAGCGCUUUCG
rnacentral:misc_RNA from 1 species